rnacentral:rRNA from 1 species
CCUACGGGUGGCAGCAGUGAGGAAUAUUUGUCAAUGGCCGGAAGGCUGAACCAGCCAUGCCGCGUGAAGGUCAGUGCCCUAUGGGCGUUAAACUUCUUUUGUGCGGGAGCAAUAAUGGUCACGUGUGGCCAGACGAGAGUACCGUACGAAUAAGCAUCGGCUAACUCCGUGCCAGCAGCCGCGGUAAUACGGGGGAUGCAAGCGUUAUCCGGAUUUAUUGGGUUUAAAGGGUGCGUAGGCUGGGAGGUAAGUCAGCGGUGAAAUGCCCCCGCUCAACGGGGUGAAGGGCAAUUGAUACUGCCUGGCUGGAAUGCGGAUGCCGUGGGAGGAAUGUGUGGUGUAGCGGUGAAAUGCAUAGAUAUCACACAGAACACCGAUUGCGAAGGCAUCUCACGAAUCCGCGAUUGACGCUGAUGCACGAAAGCGUGGGUAUCAAACAGGAUUAGAUACCCUAGUAGUC